GACGAACGCUGGCGGCGUGCCUAAUACAUGCAAGUCGAACGCAGUGGGGACGGGUGAGUAACACGUGGGUAACCUCCCAUCAGAGGGGAUAACACUUGGAAACAGGUGCUAAACCGAUACUGAUGGAUGGACCCGCGGUGCAUUAGCUAGUUGGUGAGGUAACGGCUCACCAAGGCCACGAUGCAUAGCCGGCCUGAGAGGGUGAUCGGCCACACUGGAACUGAGCCACGGCCCAGACUCCUACGGGAGGCAGCAGUAGGGAAUAUUCGGCAAGGGACGAAAGUCUGAUCGAGCAAGGCCGCGUGAGUGAAGAAGGUUUUCGGGUCGUAAAACACGUUUGUUAGGGAGGCGGUACCGAACCAGAAAGCCACGGCUAACUACGUGCCAGCAGCCGCGGUAAUAC
rnacentral:rRNA from 1 species